rnacentral:rRNA from 1 species
UACGUAGGUGGCAAGCGUUGUCCGGGUUUACUGGGCGUAAAGAGCGCGCAGGCGGUCGUUCAAGUCGCGUGUGAAAGCCCCCGGCUCAACUGGGGAGGGUCACGCGAUACUGAUCGACUGGAAGGCAGGAGAGGGUAGUGGAAUUCCCGGUGUAGUGGUGAAAUGCGUAGAUAUCGGGAGGAACACCAGUGGCGAAGGCGACUACCUGGCCUGUUCUUGACGCUGAGGCGCGAAAGCUAGGGGAGCAAACGGG